AUACGGAGGUUGCAAGCGUUAAUCGGAAUUACUGGGCGUAAAGCGCGCGUAGGCGGUUUUGUAAGUCGGAUGUGAAAGCCCAGGGCUCAACCUUGGAAUUGCAUUCGAAACUGCAUGACUAGAGUAUGGUAGAGGGCAGUGGAAUUCCAGGUGUAGCGGUGAAAUGCGUAGAUAUCUGGAGGAACAUCAGUGGCGAAGGCGACUUCCUGGACCAAUACUGACGCUGAGGUGCGAAAGCGUGGGGAGCAAACAGGAUUAGAAACCCUAGUAGUCC
rnacentral:rRNA from 1 species